GACGAACGCUGGCGGCGUGCCUAAUACAUGCAAGUCGAGCGGACUGAUUAAGAGCUUGCUCUUAUGACGUUAGCGGCGGACGGGUGAGUAACACGUGGGCAACCUGGCCUGUAGAUCGGGAUAACACCGAGAAAUCGGUGCUAAUACCGGGUAAUAUCUGAGAUCACAUGAUCUUAGGUUAAAAGAUGGCUCGGGCUAUCACUACAGGAUGGGCCCGCGGGGCAUUAGCUAGUUGGUAAGGUAAUGGCUUACCAAGGCGACGAUGCGUAGCCGACCUGAGAGGGUGAUAGGCCACACUGGGACUGAGACACGGCCCAGACUCCUACGGGAGGCAGCAGUAGGGAAUCUUCCGCAAUAGACGAAAGUCUGACGGAGCAACGCCGCGUGAGCGAUGAAGGGUUUCGGCUCGUAAAGCUCUGUUGUUAGGGAAGAAACAGUACCGAACGAACUAGGUCGGUACCUUGACGGUACCUAACCAGAAAGCCACGGCUAACUACGUG
rnacentral:rRNA from 1 species